CCGUGCUAGGCGGGGGGCCAGGGGUCCCCUGUACCGGAAACCCUCUUUAUGCCGGGCUGAGUACUCGCUUGCGGCCUUUGCGCGACCGGGCAGCCCCCGGAAAGCAGUGUUGAUGGUCGGGUCCUGCGCGACUCGGAACCGUGAACCCGGUCAGACCCGGAAGGGAGCAGCCGUAAGCGGCCCUCCGGGAGUGCCGCAGGGGUUCCCGGCCGGAGCCGGCUACCGGAACAGCGCCGGCGGCGUGGAGGUCCAGAGCGAGCUGCACGG
rnacentral:SRP_RNA from 1 species